rnacentral:snRNA from 1 species
AAAAAGGGCUUCUGUCGUGAGUGGCACACGUAGGGCAACCAGAUUGCUCUACGUGCGGAAUCGACAUCAAGAGAUUUCGGAAGCAUAAUUUUUUGAUACCUGGGCAGCUGGUGAUCGUUAAAAAAAAAAAAAAAAAAAAAAGACUUUAUUACUUUUAAAAUAUUGAUGACUGUCUAUACCCAUUUUUCUUUUCUUUCUUCAGCCCCUAA